rnacentral:rRNA from 1 species
GUAGGUGGCAAGCGUUGUCCGGAAUUAUUGGGGCGUAAAGCGCGCGCAGGCGGUUCUUUAAGUCUGAUGUGAAAGCCCACGGGCUCGACCGUGGAGGGUCAUUGGAAACUGGAGAACUUGAGUACAGAAGAGGAAAGCGGAAUUCCACGUGUAGCGGUGAAAUGCGUAGAGAUGUGGAGGAACACCAGUGGCGAAGGCGGCUUUCUGGUCUGUAACUGACGCUGAGGCGCGAAAGCGUGGGGAGCAAACAGGAUUAGAUACCCUGGUAGUCCACGCCGUAAACGAUGAGUGCUAAGUGUUAGGGGGUUUCCGCCCCUUAGUGCUGCAGCUAACGCAUUAAGCACUCCGCCUGGGGAGUACGGCCGCAAAGGCUG